AUAGAGACUCAGAGCUGCAUAUCAAUAAGCGGAGGAAAAGAAACUAACAAGGAUUCCCUUAGUAACGGCGAGUGAAGCGGGAAGAGCUCAAAUUUGAAAUCUUCAAGGUUUUACCUUGACGAAUUGUAGUUUAAAGAAGUGUUUUCUGCUGGAGUUUUGGUAAAAGUUCUUUGGAAUAGGACAUCAUAGAGGGUGAGAAUCCCGUAUUUGACCAUUAUUUCAGCUGUGUGAUACACUUUCAAAGAGUCGGAUUGUUUGGGAAUGCAGUCCAAAAUGGGUGGUAAAUUUCAUCUAAAGCUAAAUAUUGGCGAGAGACCGAUAGCGAACAAGUACCGUGAGGGAAAGAUGAAAAGAACUUUGAAAAGAGAGUUAAACAGUACAGUGAAAUUGUCAAAAGGGAAGCGUUUGACACCAGUGUUGUUUUCUCGAAAAUCAAUUAAAUAUGAUGGGAUUUUGUGUUGUAUUGACUUUAUCAGCUUUCUGCACUUUUUUCUUAUCUUUUUUAAUGCACUUUUCGUUUAACAAGUCAACAUCAAUUUCUUUUGUUGUAAAAGAGUCAUUGGAAGGUGGCUUUUUCUUCGGAAAAAGUGUUUAUAGCCUUUGGCUUCUGCAAUCGGAGAGAUUGAGGUCUGCAGCGUAGAUCCUUCGGGGUUAGAUACAUUUGUGCUAAGCUAUAGUUCUUUAUAGACAACUUGUUGACUAUAAUCAAUCCUGUAACUUACUCGCUUAUGCUAUUUUACCUACGCUUAGGAUGUUGACGCAUGAGAUAUACGC
rnacentral:rRNA from 1 species